rnacentral:rRNA from 1 species
GCGAACGCUAGCGGCGGGCCUAACACAUGCAAGUCGAGCGCGUACCUUCGGGUACGAGCGGCGGACGGGUGAGUAACACGUAGGUCAUCUACCCUUUGGUGGGGGAUAACCCAGGGAAACUUGGGCUAAUACCGCACGAGGUCUACGGAUCAAAGCCUUCGGGCGCCAGAGGAUGAGCCUGCGUCGCAUUACCUAGUUGGUAGGGUAAUGGCCUACCAAGGGGACGAUGCGUAGCUGGUCUGAGAGGAUGAUCAGCCACACUGGGACUGAGACACGGCCCAGACUCCUACGGGAGGCAGCAGUGGGGAAUAUUGCGCAAUGGGGGAAACCCUGACGCAGCCACGCCGCGUGGGUGAUGAAGGCCUUCGGGUUGUAAAGCCCUGUCGGGAGGGACGAAUUCAUGACGGUACCUCCAAAGAAAGCACCGGCUAACUCCGU